rnacentral:rRNA from 1 species
UAUACUGUAUAAUCCCUGCGGGGGAAAGAUUUAUCGCUACUAGAUGAGCCUAUGUCAGAUUAGCUAGUUGGUGGGGUAAUGGCCCACCAAGGCUGUGAUCUGUAGCUGGUCUGAGAGGAUGAUCAGCCACACUGGAACUGAGACACGGUCCAGACUCCUACGGGAGGCAGCAGUGGGGAAUAUUGGACAAUGGGCGCAAGCCUGAUCCAGCUAUGCCGCGUGAGUGAGGAAGGCCUUAGGGUUGUAAAACUCUUUCAGUAGGGAAGAUAAUGACGGUACCUACAGAAGAAGUCCCGGCAAACUCCGUGCCAGCAGCCGCGGUAAUACGGAGGGGGCAAGCGUUGUUCGGAAUUAUUGGGCGUAAAGGGCAUGUAGGCGGUUUGGUAAGUUAAAGGUGAAAUACCAGGGCUUAACCCUGGGGCUGCUUUUAAUACUGCAGGACUAGAGUCCGGAAGAGGAUAGCGGAAUUCCUAG